UCCAUGUUAUAACUUAUACAGUGUCAAUCCUCCCAAAAUUGUUCCAUCAAAAUGGCUCGGUAUUUUGUUGUUACAAAUGGUGGCAGUGCUGCAAGUGAAGGAGACCUUAUUGGGAUCAUGUUAAUGCUUGGCAUGAUUGUUAUGUCUUUGUCGAUUAUGUCCAUGUUUAUUUUUUUUUUCUUGUGUGGAUUGCGCUGAUGGCCCUGAUCAUAAGGGAAGUGGAUCUUUUAGAGGUGAAGGAGCAGCAGCAGUAGGAACAACAACAGCAACAGGCAGUGGCGAUGGAGGCGGAGG
rnacentral:lncRNA from 1 species